GGCAAAGUGGCCGAGUGGUCUAAGGCGACAGACUGUGAGCUAUGCCCGGUCCUCCGCUUCUAUUACCAGUAUACUAAUCCAAAAAAGUGAAUUGUGUCGAUCUCAGACUACAAUACAUCUGUUCUCUUCGGAGGCGCAGGUUCGAACCCUGCCUUUGUCG